AGCGGCAGCCACGAGCAGGGCGCCGUCCAGGCCCGCGCCGCCGGCCGCCAGCAGCUCCAGCACCGCCAGCCGCCCGCCCGCGGCCGCCCAGUGCGCCGCCGUCCAGCCGCGCGCGUCCUCCGCCUCCGCUGCCGCGGGUCCCGGGCCCGGAGCCUCCAGCAGGCGCGCGGCCAGCAGCGUGUGGCCCAGGGCAGCGGCCUCGUGCAGCGCGGUGCGCCCCGCCCGGUCCACCGCGCCCACCGGGGCCCCUCGCUGCAGCAGGAGACGCACCAGGGGCGCGUGGCCCCGCAGCACGGCCAGAAGGAAAGCUCCGUAAGGCUGACCGGGAAAGAAGCGAGGAGCUCUGGGGGCUGGGUGGAAAGUCCCGUACUCAUCAGGGCCAGGGAGGCCACAGAAACUACCUCACGCCAGCUUCCCAGGGGUACAGCGGCUAGAAUGGACCUCGAGGAGGCCCCUCCCAAGACUCCCGUCUCCCGGGUUCCACCGCAGUGGGGGCAGCCACAGCUGCCUCUGCAAUGCUUGUAGGACCCACACACAGUGGGGCACGGAGGGGCAGAGGCCGCAGCCCCUUUGCCAUGAAUCCAAAGAACCUGGAGUGAUUCUGCAGAGACGUUCGAACCAGAGCGACUCCAUCUUGAACAGGGGCUGGGUAAAAUGAGGCCGAGACCGGCUGGGCCGCAUUCCCUGGAGGUCAGGCAUUCUUAGUCACAGGAUGAGAUCAGCACAAGAUACAGAUCACAAAGACCCCGCUGAUAAAACAGGAUGCCGUGAAGAAGCCGGCCCCAAACCACCAAAACCAAGACAGCCAGUCCUCACUGCUCAUUAUGUGCUGAUUAUAAUACAUUAGCAUGAGACACGCCCACCAGCACCAGGACCAUUUACAGUUGCCAUGGCAAUGCCGGGAAGUUACCCUAGAUGGUCUAAAAGGGGGAAGAACCCUCACUUCCGGGAAUUGCCUGCCCCUUUCCCGGAAAAGUCCGGAAUAAUCCACACCAUGUUUAGUACAUAUCAAGAAACAACAAUAAGUGUUCUCGUCGGAGUAGCCCAGGCCGCUGCUCAGCCUAUGGGGCAGCCCUUCUCUUAUUCCUUUACUUUCCUAUUAAACUUGCUUUCAGUUUACUCCGUGGACUCCCCCGAAUUCUUCCUUGUGUGGGGUCCAAGAACCCUCUCUCGGGGUCUGGAUCGGGACCUCCUUUUCCGAUGACAGUCCCUGGGACUUAGUAGCAGUUCAGCAGUGUUUGUUGAAUGAAUAAGCGAGAGACCUGGUUGGGGGGCACUUAGAAAGCAGAGGUUUUGCAACUUUUUAAAACUUUUUAUUUGUAUUUUUGAGACGGAGUCUCACUCUGUCACUCAGGCUGGAGUGCAGUGGUGUGAUCUCAGCUCACUUGGAACCACCAUCUGCCAGUUUCAAGUGAUUCUCCUGCCUCAGCCUCCCAAGUAGCUGGGAUUAUAGGCACCCACCGCCAUGACCGGCUAAUUUUUGUAUUUUUAGUAAAGACAGGGUUUCACCAUGUUGGCCAGGCUGGUCUCCUGACCUCAAGUGAUCCGCCUUCCACAGGUUCCCAAAAUGCUGGGAUUACAGGCGCCCACCACCAUGCCUGGCUAACUUUUUUUUUUUUUUUUUUUUUUUUGAGAUGGAUUCUCGCUCUGUUGCCCAGGCUGGAGUGCAAUGGUUUGAUCUCGGCUCACUGCAACCUCCUCCUCCCGGGUUCAAACAAUUCUCCUGUCUCAGCUUCCCGAGUAGCAGGUACUACAGGCACGUGUCAACAGGCCCAGCUAAGUUUUGUAUUUUUUUUUUUUUUAAGACAGGAGGUUUCACCAUACUGGUCAGGCUGGUCUCGAACUCCUGACAUCAGGUGAUACACCCGCCUCAGCCUCCCAAAGUGCGGGAUUACAGGCAUGAGACACCGUGCCCGGCCUGAUUUUUGUAUUUGUAGCAGAGACGGGGUUUCACCAAAUUGGCCAGGCUGGUCUCAAGCUCCUGACCUCAAGUGAUCCACCCGCCUCAGCCUCCCAAAAUGCUGGGAUUACAGGUGUGAGCCACCGUGCCCAGCGCUGUAGGGACACUGCAGGGAGGCCUCUGCUGCCCUGCUAGAUGUCACACGCCACAUGGUACCACUCUCCUUCUUGUUCACAAGUCUGAAGGAAGUAGGUGAGCUGGAGAGGCCUGGAAGGUGUUGGAAGGGAUGGAGCCCACUAGAAGGCCUCACAGGGAACGGCUCAGCUCACAGACACCUACUCCUGUCAAUUAAUUAUGAACACGGAGCUGGAGGCUGAAGUGGGAGGACUGAUCGAGUCCAGGAGGUCAAGGCUGCCGUAGCCGUGAUUGAACCACUGUACUGCGGCCUGCGUGACAGAGUGAGACCCUGUCUCAAAAAAAAGUCAGAGUCGGGAGUAACGUUCAGAGAAAAUGCUUGGGGUUUUGGAUGGGAAAAGUUUUGCCCCUGACUAGAAAUGAUGGGCUGGGCGCCGUGGCUCACGCCUGCAAUCCCAGCACUUUGGGAGGCCAAGGUGGGCGGAUCACAAGGUCAAGAGAUCGAGACCAUCCUGGCUAACACAGUGAAACCCCGUCUCUACUUAAAAAAAAAUACAAAAAUUUGCUGGUCGCGGUGGUGAGCGCCUGUAGUCCUAGCUACUAGGGAAGUUGAGGCAGGACAAUCACUUGAACCAGGUAUGCAGAGGUUGCAGUGAGCCGAGAUCGUGCCACUGCACUCCAGCCCUGGUGACAGAGUGAGACUGUCUCCAAAAAAAAAAAAAAAAUGAUGGAACACAGGUUCUUGUCCUGGAAAAUCUG
rnacentral:lncRNA from 1 species